rnacentral:misc_RNA from 1 species
GGCCGUGGUGCCACGUAGAUGAUGCACCAAGAGUCCAAGACCGUAUAAAAACACUAAAAACUCAGGAAAAUUUCGACACGCGUGAAUUCUCGCACAUCGAUGAAAGAAUAGCAACUCUCAACACUGCAUUUUCUUUGCAGAGUACGACGGAAUGAAGAACCAAAAGGAUUUCAGUAUAUUUGCUGGGGCAACCACACACACACAGCGUUUACAGUACCUCAACUCUGAGUUCCACCGCUUCCCCAUCUCCAUGUCCAUCUCCAUAGGUCACACCAGCGGUUUCUGCUGCCUCUUCGGCGCGCCUGAUGCUGUUGCUAGCAGACGCGCCAUCAGAGGGCUCCAGAUCACCCGCAGCAGCUGAGGCUGAUGAGCUCUGCAGAUGCGCUUGGUGCAGCUGCAGAGCGGUCUCGAGGUGCCACAGGACCUGACCGAUGGAAGGCCGGUCCCGUCCCUCAUCCGCGACGCACUUCUCGGCGACCUCAGCCAACUGCCUGACGGACUCCAGGUCGUAGCCUCCGUCCAGCCGACGGUCGACCACGGUCUCGAGCAGGCCCCGCCUCUUCCGCUCCAGAGCCCACUCGGGGAGGUUGACCUGGUCCCUCGGCAGGGCCGGGUUGAUGACGGGCCGGGCGCAGAGGACCUCCAGCAGGACGACGCCGAACGAGUACACGUCGGAGCUCUGCGUCAGCUGCUGCCUCAUGAAGUACUCCGGGUCCAGGUACCCGAAGCUGCCCUUCACGGCGGUGCUGACGUGGGUGCGGUCCAGCGGCGGGCCGUGCUUCGAGAUGCCGAAGUCCGCCACCUUCGCCACGAGGCUGCCGUCCAGCAGGAUGUUGGUGGUCUUCACGUCCCUGUGGAUGACGCCGCCCCGGUCCAGCCCCGUGUGGAGGUAGUGCAGCCCCCGCGCCGCGCCGAUGCAGAUCUCCAGCCUCUGCCUCCACGUCAGAGCGGGGAGGUGGUCGCUCUCGCUCUCGCUCCCGUAGAGGUGGCUUCGCAGCGUGCCGUUCGCCAUGUGCUCGUAGACCAGGAUCAUCUCGUCCUGCUCGUCGCAGUACCCGAUCAGGGAGACGAGGUGCCGGUGCCGCAGCCUCGACAGCAUCUCGAUCUCCGUCUCGAACUCCUUCGCCCCCUGCUGAGACUCUGCGUGCCCCCGCUUCACCGCCACCGGAGUGCCCGUGUCCGUCUCGCCCCUGUACACCUUGCCGAAGCCUCCGACUCCGAUCACCAGGGACUCGUCGAAGUCCAUGGUGGCCGCUUUGAUCUCCGCGAUGCUGAACCGCCGGCCCAUCCUGCAGCUGCCAAAUGUUCCAGCUGCGCGAAGACCGGGGGCCGUCGUCGUAGCCGGAAGAUAGAAACAGAGGUAAACAGCAGCAGCGACCGAGACGAAGAUCACCACACCCGCAGCAGCGCCGACCAGCACCCACCUGGGGCUCCGCUUUCGUCUGUCGUCCUCCAGGCCACCACUCACGCCCCCGAUCCUAACCGUCGGAUGCCCAAGGUUUCCGUUCCGGCUGACCUUGAAGAUCUCCAUGCCGUUCAGGAGCGCGUCGCUAGCCGCGGAGCUGGUCGCGGAGGACUCGGAGCCCAGCUGAACCCAGAGCGUGUCGGUCUCCGACGCGGGGGCGGCGUCGUCGUCGUCAAGGAAGUCCUCGUGGAACGCCUUGUUCUUGCCCCCGGCCUUGGCGACCACGUCGUAGUUCUCCGCGGCGGUCUUGCCGUUGAUGUAGAUCUUGAACCUGCGCUGCUCCGCGCUCCCGUACUCCAGCUCGCAGAAGUGCAGCCUGACCAGGUACUCGAAGCCGGGGUCCACGCCGAACCGCCAG